GAUGAACGCUGGCGGCGUGCCUAAUACAUGCAAGUCGAGCGAACAGACGAGGAGCUUGCUCCUCUGACGUUAGCGGCGGACGGGUGAGUAACACGUGGAUAACCUACCUACAAGACUGGGAUAACUUCGGGAAACCGGAGCUAAUACCGGAUAAUAUAUUGAACCGCAUGGUUCAAUAGUGAAAGACGGUUUUGCUGUCACUUAUAGAUGGAUCCGCGCCGCAUUAGCUAGUUGGUAAGGUAACGGCUUACCAAGGCAACGAUGCGUAGCCGACCUGAGAGGGUGAUCGGCCACACUGGACCUGAGCCCCGGUCCAGACUCCUCCGGGAGGCAGCAGUAGGGACUCUUCCGCAAUGGGCGAAAGCCUGACGGAGCAACGCCGCGUGAGUGAUGAAGGUCUUCGGAUCGUAAAACUCUGUUAUUAGGGAAGAACAAAUGUGUAAGUAACUAUGCACGUCUUGACGGUACCUAAUCAGAAAGCCACGGCUAACUACGU
rnacentral:rRNA from 1 species